rfam:Ictidomys tridecemlineatus contig016376, whole genome shotgun sequence.
AGGGAUGUGGCUCAGUGGUAGAGCACUUGCCUAGCAUGUGCAAGGCACUGGGUUCCAUUCCCAGCACUGCAA